rnacentral:rRNA from 1 species
GUGGGGAAUAUUGGACAAUGGGCGAAAGCCUGAUCCAGCCAUGCCGCGUGUGUGAAGAAGGUCUUCGGAUUGUAAAGCACUUUAAGUUGGGAGGAAGGGCAGUAAGUUAAUACCUUGCUGUUUUGACGUUACCGACAGAAUAAGCACCGGCUAACUUCGUGCCAGCAGCCGCGGUAAUACGAAGGGUGCAAGCGUUAAUCGGAAUUACUGGGCGUAAAGCGCGCGUAGGUGGUUUUGUAAGUUGGAGGUGAAAUCCCCGGGCUCAACCUGGGAACUGCCUCAAAAACUGGAUGACUAGAGUACAGUAGAGGGUAGUGGAAUUUCCUGUGUAGCGGUGAAAUGCGUAGAUAUAGGAAGGAACACCAGUAGCGAAGGCGACUACCUGGACUGAUACUGACACUGAGGUGCGAAAGCGUGGGGAGCAAACAGGAUUAGAAACCCGUGUAGUCC